CGGGAAGAGUGCAGACACAUAACGUGAAAUCCCGAGCUUUUUGCGUGGUGCAUUUAAAAUGCUUCCUUAUUUGUAUUACCCUCAUUCCCUCACCUCUCCCACCCCCUCACCAGUCCUUCCAAAUUUCCCUAGAAAUCUAUGUAAAGCGUGCGGAGGGGAAACAUUUGCACAAAAAGUGAAGGAGCUCGCCAAGGUAGUCAGACCUGUCCUGACAGCUGGAGGCCUACGUGAGGGGUGGCCACAGAAGGAGGAGGUCUCAGAGGCCACAGAAACUGAGGAAUCUGAACACAUGAGCUCCGGAGUCCCAGGAAAAUGUCAACUUUUAUCUUCUGAAGAAACUUGGAGACUUUUGUAAAGGUGAAACUUUUCAUCUUUAGGUAAGGAAACGUUUUCUAUUAUUUAUCCAUCUGUUGAAAAGAGAGCAUUUCAAUUACAGAAAAGAAGUAACAUGAAUUUAAGCUUUGCUUAU
rnacentral:lncRNA from 1 species